rnacentral:lncRNA from 1 species
AACCCGGACAGGCACUGUGACUCUUCUUGACAGCUAUGAAAGCUGACGUUUGGGCCCCUUGAAGUGAAGAAGUCAAGAUGAAAGGUUUUUUGUUUGUUUUCCCUCCGAAGGCCUUGCAUCGUUUUUUCUGCUUGCCUUGUAGAAAAAGGAAGGGUUUAGGAGGAACUGAGGUACAAGAUUGAGAGGGUCAAAAGACAAUCUAGAAGUACUCCUGCUAAAGGCACGUCUGCCUUAUCACACUCUUAAUUUCCCUUUUGUAUUUCCUCUUUGGUGGGGUUAUUCGAAGUAUUAAUGUGGGACUGUUGGUUUCCUUUGUGGUUUUCAGAGAAAUUCAGCAUCAUCUUUGACAUAUCAACUCCGUCAGUAGUCUGGUACUUUAGCAACUUAAAUGCACACAGCUUUAAAAAGUUUCUUCAGAGAAAGGAAUGGGAAUCCACAUGAACAACUAUGUGUGAUGUAGCGCGGUGCUUUAUUUUGCCAUUGACUGGUGCAUUAAGGGGUUUUUUUGUUUUGUUUUGUUUUUUUUUUUUUUUUGUUUUUUUGUUUUUUUGUUUUUCUCUGUAUAGCUCUGGCUGUCCUGGAACCCACUUUGUAGACCAGGCUGGCCUCGAACUCAGAAAUCCCCCUGCCUCUGCCUACCAAGUGCUAGGAUUAAAGGCGUGCGCCACCACCGCCCAGCAAGUUUUUUCUUGAAACUAGAACGUUAGUUACUUGAGCUGUUGCCUUUCUAAACCUACAGAUAAAAUAGAAAUAUAUUUGUGACCCUAAACUCUCCCAAUUUAAAAGACAACAAACAAAAACCCUCUCAAUGUUAGUCUAACCUGUUUUGAAUUUGUUUUAUAUUUUAUUUUGUUUUACUUUGCUUGCUUUUUUGAGACAGAGUCUUGUGUAGCCCAGGAUAGCUUUGAACUUGCUGUGUAGCUGAGGAUGAUUUUUGAGCCCCUCCUUCUCCUGUCUCUACCUCCCAGUUUCUGGGGUUACAAGUAGGUACCAUCACACACAAUUUCUGUACUUUAAGGUAGGGAGAGAGUAUCAAAAAUACACCUACAACUUAAAGGUUACAUUUAAUGGCUAUUUUAGAAAUAUUCUUAAAGAUGGUGACAGGAUCUGGGAAAUUUUGCUGGGAAAUUUUGUUGUUAUAGAAACUAGUCAUAGCUAAAACCCUGUUUCUGAAAUGGUCAGGUGAGUGUCGGCUCAUGCAUCCCUCUUCACAAUGUUACAGUGUGUUAAGACCUAUCUUGAAACUUCUGGGAAAAUCAGCCCUAGGAAGGAAGGGGAAGGCCAGUGGAAAAUUUGAACUAUAUUAGGUAUUUCUAAAACUAAGGUGUUCUUACUUAUCAAAGUUGGCUGGAAGUUUGAAUUAUUAGAAGUUGAACUGAUGAUGACCAAUGGAACCUAUGAUUCUGCCUGGAAAUGUUCUUGCUUAGAAUAAAGUGCUUUCGGGGAGAGAUUUGCCCACUUCACUAAGGUCCUGGUAAUGAGUUUUUCUUCCUGCAACAGUGGGAAGCCAUGCACUGUAUGAUCUCCACCAUCCCUACUACGAGACAGACUUUUCUUUUCUUUUUUUUUUUUCCUUUUAAAGAUUUAUUUAUUUUUAUGUGAGUACAGUGUAGCUGUUUUCAGACACACCAGAAGGGGCGUCAGAUCUCAUCACAGAUGGUUGUGAGCCACCAUGUGGUUGCUGGGAAUUGAACUCAGGACCUCUGGGAGAGCAGCCAGUGCUCUUAACCGCUAAGCCAUCUCUCCAGACCUAGAAAGAGUUUUCAAAGAUAACUUUUACGCGCUAGGAGCAGGAUGUCCUUGUGUACACAUGGCAUGUAUCUGUGCUGUCCUGGCUUUGCCUUUUCCAGCUGGCCAUGCCUACUCCAAGCCCCACCCAGAAAGAGCACAAGAACCAUCCUAAGCUAAGAUUUGUAGGUUCAGGCAUUUCUUCUUUAGUGUGAGGCUCAUUAUAACAAACUCUCUGAAGCAGUACAGUUCAUUACUUACUCAAACUUUGUGUUUUCAUAACCUUGUAGUGGGCAUGGUGGAUUUGUUUUCCCUUCCUCUCAACUGACCUUCCUCCAAUAAAUUUCUUUUCAGCUU